GUGGGGAAUUUUGGACAAUGGGCGCAAGCCUGAUCCAGCGACGCCGCGUGGAGGACGAAGGCCUUCGGGUUGUAAACUCCUUUUGGAGGGGAAGAAUAAAUUGACGGUACCCUCAGAAAAAGCCACGGCUAACUACGUGCCAGCAGCCGCGGUAAUACGUAGGUGGCGAGCGUUACUCGGAAUUACUAGGCGUAAAGCGUAUGUAGGUGGUUAGAUAAGUCUAUGGUGAAAUUUCCUGGCUUAACUGGGAAGGGACAUAGAUACUAUCUGGCUUGAGUGUGGGAGGGGGAGACGGAAUUCCUGGUGUAGCGGUGAAAUGCGUAGAUAUCAGGAGGAACACCGAUGGCGAAAGCAGUCUCCUGGCCCAAUACUGACACUGAGGUACGAAAGCUAGGGUAGCAAACAGGAUUAGAAACCCCGGUAGUCC
rnacentral:rRNA from 1 species